rnacentral:snRNA from 1 species
UGGAUUGUUAAAAUUUGAUGAA